rnacentral:lncRNA from 10 species
AGAGACGGGAGUCUCACUAUGUUGCCCAGGCUGAUCUUGAACUCCUGGACUCAAGCAAUCCACCUGCUUUGGCCUCGCAAAAUGCUGAAGUUAUAUGCACAAGCCCCUGCAUCUGGCUGAAUCCUUUCUGAUUUCUUCCCAGUCUGUGCCCCAGGAAUCAGGGCCCUGCCCAGGUUCUUGGCUCUGAGCUGCUCCCUGGGGGGCAGCCGGGCAGAGCAGUGGACAAUGGAAGCAUUGUGGGACCUCUGGAGCUGGGGCCUGGGGCAGUGGAAGGCGCUGGUCGCUGGAGUGGCAGUUGCUUCACCGUGUUCCCUCCUUGCUGGGCCAGAGGCAUGCCUAGAACAUGCCAGGACGGUACCCUGAGCCCCGCCCCUGCCCGCCUGGGUGAGGCCUGGGUCUUCUGGAAUCCCAGCUAUGCCUGAGGACAGACAGCUAUUCCAAGCCUUUGUUCAUAGACCAUCCUGCCCUGGCAGAUACACAUUCUGGAAAAUACACCUGGGACUGGGCAAGUGGUCUUGCCUCCCUACCCCAAAACUGAACUAUCCUCCAACUAAACCCUCCAGAACAGAGAGGACAUGUGCUGGCUCUCACUGGGCGGGUGCUGUCUGAGCUGGGAAACCCUCACACUUGUCUGGGGCUCCACGAGGGGGCAGGUCAAAGAAGCCACUGAAAUAUCCAAACUGGCAGGGACCCUUAUCUAGCAAAGCCCUCUCAGUACACUGAGAGGAGAGACUGGAGCCCAGAGAGCAGAGGUGUUUGCUCCAGGUUGUAGAGACUCUUAGGAGGGGAGCAGGGCCCCCCAUCCAGCUGCCCCACACUCUCUAUGCUUCUGGCUGCUUGCUGAGGUCUCAGCCUGCCAGGCUCUCUCCCCUUUUGACUGCUCUUGAAAUGGCUACUGCUGCUGUUCCAAAUUGUCCACAGGCUUUAUGACCUAGCUCAGACAUCAUCCCCUCCCUGAAGCCUUCUGUGAUGGGCCCAGACAGAAGCCACAACUUCAGAUCUUCUCACAGAAUCCCACCCUUAGAGGGGACCUAGAGGGGAUGUGCUUGCUAAUUUACAGAGGAAUUUCCACAUGUCUACUACUGGCAGACCAGUGUGGAAGAAGCUCUAUAAACAAUCACAACGAACAGUCACAGAAAGACAAGGGUAGGGAUGUGAUGGAGAGAGGGGCCGAAUGCUAUAGGGCUUCCAGAAGGAGCCUGUCACCUCCUGCCAGGGACUGAGAGACAGCCCAGAGGGCUACAUGUAGGAGGUGGCAUUUGAACUGUUGCUCACAUUGUAUGGCAUGUAUUUGUGCAUACCUGUCUCUCUUCAUUGGAUUGUGACAUCAUUAAUGAUACAGUUAUGUAACUUUAUGAGCACUAACCACACUCUAGACAUCAUGUGUGUGUUUGUGUGUUGUUUUUGUUGUUAAGGUACAUUACCAUAUUGAAUCCUCACAAUUCUGUGAGCUAGGAGCUAUCUCAUUAUCCCCAUUUACUGAUGAGGACAAGGCUCUGAGGGUUCAACAAGCAUGUUCAAAGCCACACAGCUGUCAAAACUUGCAGUCACA